AAAACUAACUCCAGCUUCAUCAAUUAUUUUUUCUUUUCUAGCGGUACCGGAGAAAGAAAGCAAAAGACCAGAUCACGCGAUAUGAAAGGAGACUUGAGUAUAAGAAAACCACUCAGAGUUAUCUAAAAGAGAAUCCGAAUAUAUUACGUACUUAAAACUACCUCUACAGCCAUCAUGCAUGAUGCAUGUCUAGGGGUGUCAAAAUGGGUCAAAAUUCAUGGGUCAACUCAACUUAACUCAACCCAUGAAUCCUAAUGAGUUAAAGUUUUUGACUCAAAUGAGUUGAUGGGUCAAAUGGGUUAUUGGGUCAAUUGGUUUGAUGAGUUAAAUGAGUUGGGUUGUAAUGUUUAAUGGUUUCAAUGGUUUACCCAAUUAACCCAUCAAGUUUUGUAAAAUUGAAUUAAACCAAGUAAAAUCUCUAAACCAAUGCCAAUUUAAGCUUAACCAACACAUCUAAACCAAUUUAAUAAAAUUAAUAUUUUUCCAAAUUUCUUAAAUAUACAAGCGAUGAAAUUGAGAAAAAGUAAACUCGUAAUUUUUCUACCAAAAAACAUAAACCCAUGAUUUUCCCGCCAAAAACGUAAACCCGUGAUUUUCCCGCCAAAAACGUAAACCCGUAAUUUUCUCGCCAAAAACGUAAACCUGUAAUUUUUUCGCCAAAAACGUAAACCCAUGAUUUUCCCGCCGAAAACGUAAAUCCGUAAUUUUCCGCCAAAAACGUAAACCGUAAUUUUCGCGCCAAAAACGUAAACCCGUGAUUUUCCCGCCAAAAACGUAAACCUGUAAUUUUCCCUCCAAAAAUGUAAACCCGUGAUUUUUCCGCUAAAAACAUAAACCCGUGAUUUUCUCGCCAAAAACGUAAACCUGUAAUUUUCCUGCCAAAAACGUAAACCCGUGAUUUUUCCGCCAAAAACGUAAACUCGUAAUUUUCCCGCCAAAAACGUAAAUCCGUAAAAAGUGGAAUCCGUAAAUAUUCUAAGUUUGAUGAUAAUAAAUUAAUAAUU
rnacentral:sRNA from 1 species